AAACCCCCAAAACAAAAAACAAGUGGCAAGCUGCAACGACAAAAAGGAAAAUUUUCUGGAGAUUUUCCUAGUUAGUUUUUCCAGUUUUCCACGUUUCAUCAGCAUCGAUUCGGCCCUACAAUAGUGGCAAGGAUUCAUAUCAAAGAACUAAAACAAAACAUGGUAAAGAUCUUUCGGAAUCUCGGAAGGGGAGUACGCUCGAUCUUUGAUGGGCGGGAGGGUCGUGGCCAACCAAUCAACCCAAAGAUAGUACAAAUCUAAAAUCCAGGAGAGCCGUUGGACGAGUUUGAGGAUAUAUCCGUUACUGUGAAAUAUAAAUAAUUGUGAAUGAGAUUUUCUAAAGAAACCCAGAACUGACCGCAGUGCAAGGAUAGUGCAUGUAUUGUGAAUAAUGGAUGAAAGGACACAAUUUAUGUUUAUUGAUCAGUACAGAUUAUAAAUAAACUUAUAUUUACAUGAGAGCA